AUGUUUGCCUUUGUUUCCUUCAUGGGCAGUUUGGUACGGUUUCCUGUUGUCGUUUGCGUCGAGCCUUGGGUCUGUCUCUCCUUCUCAUUGAGCAUACUUCUCCUGUUGCCGGCGCUUCUUCUUCUCGUCCGUCCUGCUGCUUACCCAACGUGCUUCUGCUUGCUGCCUCUGGCUGUACGAUCUCUUCUGUUGCUGUGUCGUUCGACUCAUCAAGAUGAUGUGGUUGAGUUACGAAGCCUCUUCUUGCAGUGUUGUCUGCAAGGCCGAAGGGAAGUUAUUAAUGCAUUUGAGCAGCUCUAUCUGAUUGUUCAUCUCCUGAACCUAUUUUAG
rnacentral:rRNA from 1 species